UUUUUUGGAGAGUUUGAUCCUGGCUCAGGAUGAACGCUGGCGGCGUGCCUAAUACAUGCAAGUCGAACGGAAGCACUUCGGUGCUUUAGUGGCGAACGGGUGAGUAACACGUAGGUAACCUGCCCAUAAGACGCGGAUAACAGUUGGAAACGACUGCUAAUACACGAUAGGUAACUUGAGCGCAUGAUUAAGUUAUUAAAGGUCCGAAUGGACUACUUAUGGAGGGGCCUGCGGCGCAUUAGUUAGUUGGUGGGGUAAGAGCUUACCAAGACGAUGAUGCGUAGCCGGACUGAGAGGUUGAACGGCCACAUUGGGACUGAGACACGGCCCAAACUCCUACGGGAG
rnacentral:rRNA from 1 species